rnacentral:rRNA from 1 species
AACGAACGCUGGCGGCAUGCCUAACACAUGCAAGUCGAACGAGACCUUCGGGUCUAGUGGCGCACGGGUGCGUAACGCGUGGGAACCUGCCCUUAGGUUCGGAAUAACUCCCCGAAAGGGGUGCUAAUACCGGAUAAUGUCUUCGGACCAAAGAUUUAUCGCCUUUGGAUGGGCCCGCGUUGGAUUAGCUAGUUGGUAGGGUAAAAGCCUACCAAGGCGACGAUCCAUAGCUGGUCUGAGAGGAUGAUCAGCCACACUGGGACUGAGACACGGCCCAGACUCCUACGGGAGGCAGCAGUGGGGAAUAUUGGACAAUGGGCGAAAGCCUGAUCCAGCAAUGCCGCGUGAGUGAUGAAGGCCUUAGGGUUGUAAAGCCCUUUUACCCGGGAUGAUAAUGACAGUACCGGGAGAAUAAGCGCCGGCUAACUCUGUG